rnacentral:rRNA from 1 species
GCUGGCGGCGUGCCUAAUACAUGCAAGUCGAGCGGACAGAAGGGAGCUUGCUCCCGGAUGUUAGCGGCGGACGGGUGAGUAACACGUGGGUAACCUGCCUGUAAGACUGGGAUAACUCCGGGAAACCGGAGCUAAUACCGGAUAGUUCCUUGAACCGCAUGGUUCAAGGAUGAAAGACGGUUUCGGCUGUCACUUACAGAUGGACCCGCGGCGCAUUAGCUAGUUGGUGGGGUAAUGGCUCACCAAGGCGACGAUGCGUAGCCGACCUGAGAGGGUGAUCGGCCACACUGGGACUGAGACACGGCCCAGACUCCUACGGGAGGCAGCAGUAGGGAAUCUUCCGCAAUGGACGAAAGUCUGACGGAGCAACGCCGCGUGAGUGAUGAAGGUUUUCGGAUCGUAAAGCUCUGUUGUUAGGGAAGAACAAGUGCGAGAAGUAACUGCUCCGCACCUUGACGGUACCUAACCAGAAAGCCACGGCUAACUACGUGGCCAGCAGCCGCGGUAAUACGUAGGUGGCAAGCGGUUGUCCGGAAUUAUUGG